AUUGAACGCUGGCGGCAUGCUUUACACAUGCAAGUCGAACGGCAGCACAGGGAGCUUGCUCCCGGGUGGCGAGUGGCGCACGGGUGAGUAAUACAUCGGAACGUGUCCUAUUGUGGGGGAUAACUGCUCGAAAGGGUGGCUAAUACCGCAUGAGACCUGAGGGUGAAAGCGGGGGAUCGCAAGACCUCGCGCAAUUGGAGCGGCCGAUGCCCGAUUAGCUAGUUGGUGAGGUAAAGGCUCACCAAGGCGACGAUCGGUAGCUGGUCUGAGAGGACGACCAGCCACACUGGGACUGAGACACGGCCCAGACUCCUACGGGAGGCAGCAGUGGGGAAUUUUGGACAAUGGGGGCAACCCUGAUCCAGCCAUGCCGCGUGCAGGAUGAAGGCCUUCGGGUUGUAAACUGCUUUUGUCAGGGACGAAAAGGACCGUGUUAAUACCAUGGUCUGCUGACGGUACCUGAAGAAUAAGCACCGGCUAACUACGUGCCAGCAGCCGCGGUAAUACGUAGGGUGCAAGCGUUAAUCGGAAUUACUGGGCGUAAAGCGUGCGCAGGCGGUUCUGUAAGACAGAUGUGAAAUCCCCGGGCUCAACCUGGGAAUUGCAUUUGUGACUGCAGGACUAGAGUUCAUCAGAGGGGGGUGGAAUUCCAAGUGUAGCAGUGAAAUGCGUAGAUAUUUGGAAGAACACCAAUGGCGAAGGCAGCCCCCUGGGAUGCGACUGACGCUCAUGCACGAAAGCGUGGGGAGCAAACAGG
rnacentral:rRNA from 1 species